GUUGAGUUAACGGAAAUGAGAAUUGAAAGUUGAGCAAACUCAAAAGCAAAACUUAAAAUGUUAUGUUUAAUUGCCCAACUUAAAACUCUGCUGAAGUUUGUUACUUUACAAUUUUGAGUUCUGCUAGCUUUUUUUUUUUUUUACAGUGUAAAGUGAAAUAAAA